rnacentral:lncRNA from 1 species
CCUGACUGGGGAUUCAGAGCCCCGUUGGCCUCUUGAACCAAAAACCCCUCACCCUCACCCUAACCCUACUGUCCUCAUAGCGAGGUGUGAACUCCUAAACUAGUUCCCUGACUCCUCCUUCACCAUCUGAUUGGGUUUCUGCCUCUCCUCUUUCUCUCCCGGGUUCUCCUUGUAGAUUCUCUAGCUACUUGAAUGUAGCUCGCUUCCCUUAAACGUACCAGGCUUUGCCAUCUCUGCCCAGGGACUAGUGUGGGGUCCACUGGCUUUUGAGGUGGUCCUGGAAAUGCGACCCCCAUAAGCCUCAUGAUUUUCAUGGCAAAACACCUCCCAGAGCCAUGUCAGAGCCUGGAGGGCAGGGCCUGCACAGGCUUUGUGAAGAGAAUCCAGCCCAGGCCUUGCAGCUGACUCCUUCAUGAUCCAUGGACCUGUUUAGAGCUUUGGAAAUUUCCACACAGGUAGCUCCGCCGUUCUCUUCCUGCCUGGUGGGACCCGGGUAGUCAUUUAGAAUCGGUCUGGGUGGACAGUGAUGAGCUCCACCUCAGUCCUAGAAAAGAGCACAAGUUCCCAUGAGACUGCAGGCAGGGACAAGGCCAUUACACCCGGAGCCCCUAACAACAGGCACAUGGCACUCACACUCCCUGGCAAGACACCCGGGGCUGGGGCGAGCUCCUUCUUAGUGAUUAACAGGUGUGGAAUGGGUAUUAUUAGUCGCGGCUUUUCAUGAGUUCCCACCUUGUUCCUGCCCUUGGCAGGGUAUCUUCCCUUCCCUGGAAUUAAACAGGAGCUCUGGCCUCUGCCUCUCAUCGUGGUGUAUGGUGCCACAGAAGCCAAGGACUCCCAGUUGCGCUUAUUGAAAUCAGCAGGUGUUUUUCUCUGACCACAACGAAAGCACAGGCCUGCUCAGGGGAGCCGGGCAUGGGGGCCAGAGUCAGGGGUGCAGAGUAGGAGGUGGAUGAUUCUCAAGGGGCCUUGUGAAAUGUUUUCAAGCAGAUGAAAAAAUAGCUUCAGGACAUCUUCCCUGUGUGUGUGUGUGUGUGUGUGUGUGUACGUGUGUGUUGGGGGGUUCGUAGGCUGCUGGGUAUGAUGAGCCUCCGUCUCACUUGGCAUCUUCUGGGCGUUUCCUCUGCCCUCUGACCAUUUCCCAGCAAGUCUCUGCCUGCGAUCCCUACUGCUUAUUGGGCACCGACACAUGCAUACAAUCUCACUUAAUUGUCACAACUCUUCCCAGGUGAGGCCUAUUGUCUCUCUUUCCCAUAAGGAGGUGGAGGCUCCAGGGUUUUUCCCUGCUCACCCACAUCCGGAAGCUGGGUUCCUCUGACGCUAGGGCACCUGAGCUGUUCUGCCACCAUGCAUCUCCCUGGGGUUCACAGGGACACGGAGGGGGCUUCCCGCCUGCAGAAGAGAAAGGAGACUAGGGGCACAUUCUAGACUUUUCUGUAACAUUCUUCAAGGAGUACUCUCAGAAAUUCAGGAAAUGUGGCUUGAGGCUGAGGUUCAAAGACGGAAAACAUGCAACUGGAGACCUUCCAACAGUCUUCUUUUCACGGUCACUUCUAAGUCACUUAGACAGUUACUCCCCUGCUUAAGACCUUUCUGGUUCCUCUUAGGGUUAGGUCUGCAGACCUCAUUGUGACUUCCCUUGUGAUGCAGUUUCAAAGUCAGCAGUAUUUCCAUUUUAACCAAAGUCUCUCUGGAAGGACCUGCGUUUGCAUGAGAAAGACAGUUGGCUGCAGCUGGGAAAGCAUCUGGGUUGAGUGACUGUCACCUCUUCUCCUAGGGAUGCAGGAGGCUCCCAGCUUAGACUUCUCAGAGCUGGGACCGGUCUCGCCCUGGCUCCUCCCUUCCCACCAGCCGCGGGGGAGGUCGGAUGGUGUGCGGGCCUGGGCGCCGGAGCUUCUCCCGGGGCUUCCUUGAAUACAAAACAGUGUUUUGCUGCUGGGAAAAUAUUUAUCAAAGGUCUGGCGAUAGCUGGGGGGGAGUUUGACAACUCGAAAGGCCACAAACAUUCUUUAUCUGCCGGAUGAGGUUAGUUUCUGUUUGGACCCGAUGUUUUUGAAAGAAGGAAAUCAUUUUCAUAAGCAUCCGAUUAGGUCCAGGAAGUGUCCUCCAGACAAUGAGAAGUGGACUCCCGCAGCGAGUCCGGACUUUUGUCGUUGGUUUGUACCGCCAUCUGCUGGCCAAACUUGUGAACUACACGGCACGGGAACGUUUUCUUCCUCCCUGGCUCUUGAAUACAAAUUCUCUCCAUGGUGCAAAAGGGAAAUGGCAAGAGUUUUUUUUUGUUGUUGUUGUUUAUUUGUUUUUAAAUAGCAAUUAUUAGAAUAUUUCUUAGUUCCCUUGGUGAUAAAGCAGACACAAGGUGGAAGAAUAAAGCUACAGCAAACUUUGCUCAUCUGAGGCUAGAGGGUGGAAGAAUUCCUCAGCAUGAUUGAUUAGACCUUCUGAUUGAGCCCAUUCUGAAUUUUUGAGACCACCUCAUUAGCAAAUUCAGGGAAAUAUAAGAAUUAUUUUUUAAAUAACCAGUGUCAAAUUAAUUGAUUAAAAAGUGAGAAUUGCCAUGUUUAAUUGUAGAAUCUUAGGCACACUUUAAUUUGGAUAAUGGAACAGAUAAAAGAUGUGGGAUCUUUUGUUUCCAAAAUUUCAUGUUAGUUUUAAAUACAGGGCCUUAACCUCUAAAAAUUUAAGUUCUAUACCAGGUAAGGGAUUAUUGUAGCAUACAUAUGACACACUUGCACAGACAGACUUAAAAAAACAGGUUUUUUUUCCCCCACUAUUUUAAAUUUAUUCUGGGAAAAUUUGCGUUUUAUCUUUAAUCUCGAGAGAGUGGAGGUCCAUAUGAGAAUGACUUCAGAACCACAUUAGGGAUACGGAUAUAGACGCCCCAGAACCCUUUUCUCUUCUUCUUUCUCUUGCCAAGACCCUGAUUCUAGGGUUCCCCCCUGUUAGUCUGAGUCCUUUGAGAAGCAGAUGCUCCCAAGGGAUUAAACACGUAAGGAAUUCAUUAGGGGGGGUCAUCUGUUAGAGGAGAGGGGGAGGGUCUAGAGGAAGGCAAGAAAGGCCCCAGACCCCAAGGCAGGAGAGACGGAGGGAAGGAGGAAGAGGCAGGCUGGAUGGGCAGGAGCAUCCCAGACUACAGAGGGGUUCCGGGAAGUUAGGCAGAACCGUGGAGCAUCCUUGUGAAAGGCCAAUUUCCAAGGUGACCCCUGAUGAUCCCUGCCUCCUGAUAGCCUGUGCCUGGUGUCCUGCGUUCCCUUUGAGUGGCUGGCUUCUAGUGGCAAAAGUGAUGGCAUGUCACUCCCAUGCUGUCACCUAGCCGGACUUUCUUGCCGUAUUGCCCACAGGGGAAGAUUUAGGACUCCCAGUGACAUGCUGACCUAGUAUUCCUGAUGGGCUCAGUCUACUGGGAGCAGCCCAAGUGUGAGCUCAGUGCAGAUGCGGUGGUGGAUAUCCUCCCUCCCCACUCCACUCUCUCUUCCUUUCUUCUUUGUCUGUCUCUCCUCCCUUUCUCCUUCCUUUCCUUCCCUCCCCUCUCUCUUCUUUUCUCCUCCUCCUCCUCCUCUUCCUCCUCCUCCUCCUCCUCCUCCUUCUUCUUCUCUCUCUCUCUCUCUCAAUGGAGUUUUGCUUUCUUGCCCAAGCUGGAGUGCCCUAGCAGUAGGGAGGGGAGACCAGUGUCCACCUCCACCAGGUGCGAUCCCACUACUGAUCAGCACAUACAACCUCCUGCUCCCCUGUCCCUUAGGAGGUCAUGCUAUUGAUGGCAAACUUUGUUGUCACCUAUCAGCAUAAAGCACUGUAGCCCAGAACUUCUGGGCUCAAGAGUCAUCCUGCCUUAGCCUCCCUAGCAGCUGGGACAACUGGUGUGUGCCCCCUGCCCUGUUGUGGUGAGGGAUUUCAGAGAAGCCGCUGGGGCCUUCAGAUCAUUACGUUCUCUACCAUCAGGUAUCUGAAAGGCAUAAUCUCAUGGUCACCACAGACACUCAGAGCAGAGGUUACAAUUCUCAUUCUCCCUUGAGGCUUGGGUGGCUCUCUUACUUGCUGAAUUCUGUUUCCAUAAAGCUGGCUGCCAUGUUGGAAAGUCCCAUGUAACAAGGGAAGCCAGGAAAGACCUUAGUUAUCUGAGAUGCCUUCUCUUAUAUGGGUAAGUUAUAUAUUUGACUUCUAGAAAGAGUUCCUAAAGAGAUUUAUCACUCCCUUGUCCUUUUUCCCCUCUUGCUGGCUGGAAUGUGAUGAGAUCACUGGAUCUGGAGCUGCCAUUUUGGAUCAGGAAGUAGAAGCUGGGUGUGGAGAAUGAUGAAGCCAGAAAAUAAAAGAAAUCCAAUCCCUCAAAGUGAUCAUGGGGCCCCCCACAGACUGUCUAGGUUCACGGGAGAGAGAAAUAAAUGUCUAACUUGCAUAAACCAGUGCUUGAUUUCAUUUUAAUUUUUUUUUUUUUUGUCGUAUCAGAAGUUACUCUGAACUGAAAAAAAAAUCAACAUUUUAUUAGGAAAGUCUGAAGGUUAAAGGAACAAAUGUUUCUCAUUUGCUAAAUCAUGGUAAAAAGAAAAGUAAAAUUGCUCAGAACUGUGACUGGAAGAUGAUACCCGGCUCCCUGUGGUGGAGGUGGCCGCUGGUCUCCCCUCCCUACUGCUGGGAGGUGUCCCUUCCCUCUUCCUCAGCAAGGACAGAGAGGAGGAAGCCACUGAUUGUCAUCAUGGCGAGGUCUUUGAAAGCAACCCCUGAGAAAGCAAGUGAAGUCCCCUCACUGGGUGCCAGGCUCAGAACAUUGGCUCCCCCAGGCUAAGAAAGUUUGUUGAAUGAAAGACCAAGGAGAAACCAGCUGGGUUUUGAUUGUCCACCAAAUCUGUUGAAAACACUUUCUCUAAGCUCAUCUGUUUUGAAGCUUUCCAAGCUUGAGAACAUAAUAAAUAUUACUUUUGUCGGGCUUGUCAUUCAUUCAACCCAGUCUAGUUCUUUGGUUGUGGCACGGGGAGGGGGGGUUGUAUUUUCUGGAAGGGUGAAGUUAUCUUCUCUGAUGACUUUCAAAACAUGCAUUUACCCAUCAGGACUGUUGGGUGGACUGGGGGUGCAGCUCAGUGCAGCGUGCUUGCUGAGCCAUGCCAGGGCCCUGCCGUCAAUCCCCAGUAUCAUGGGGGGACAUCAACUUUUCCUGCAGAAAGCAAUGCCUCUACUAAGACCUGUGGGAAAGGAGCCCAGGAAAGAAGGAGCCGUACAUCCUAGAUGGGAGGUCGGGAGGGCGCUGUGUGUGCAGGAGCUACACGUGGCUUGGUGAUGUUGCUAGGACACUGUGAGGUGGGAUGGCUGGGGGCUGGAGAGAGGAGGUGAGGCCAGGUGACAUGAGGGAUGGCAUCACAUGUGGGGGCGUAAGGGCAGGGGCAGGAGGGGCUGUGCAGACUUUAAUCAGGAGACAUGCCUAGCUUGUGUUUUAGAAGACCUCACUGAUUACAUCGUGGGGCUCUGGUUCCAGGUAAGGUGAUGAAAUACACACCACCCUGUAUCUGCUCCUCAAAUCAGCUGUAAAACCUGGACAGAACGCAUGCAGCAGCUAUUUGAGGACCCCGAGAAGUAAGUCGCAGGUGGAUUGAGAAGGAAGACUAGAAUUUGCGGUAUGGCUGAACCAGUAUGGUGUCUGCAUUCUUUUUUUUUCCUCCAGUAUUUCCUGGACUCGACACAGCCAGAAACCUGGAAGGGUUUCUCCACACAGAGAAAGAUCCAGGAGAGGCUCCAUUCUCUUGCAUCCAGUCCCCAAGGAAUCCUGAGACAGCAUCAGGGACAGUGGCAACAAGGGCACUUAACUAAAAGCCUCAGGGCCGGAAGGAGAGGAGACUUAUUCAACUGGGGGACUGAAUCCUUGUUACUUUAAAACAUUUUUCUUCCAUUGCUUGGCCCAAGAACCUGGUACCAGAUGUGGGCUCAGAUGCAGCAAAUGUGUGGCAAAAUGAGAUAAAGCAACCCCCAAAUUUCUGGUGGAGACUGAAAAGGGAAAUAUCAGGGACCCAGAAAGGGUUAGGGAAGAGAGGAGAGGAGAAGCUCAGGAAAACUACCUGAUAAAACUGUUUAUGAACUUAUGGAUUCAUCCCUGAGCUGCUAAUGCAUGGAGAGGACCUUAAGCAUAGUAUUAUAGACGUAGAGAUUUGAACUAUGGGAUAGACAACAGCCCCAGGUACAGACUUACCACUGGUGACCCAUGUGGGUCACUUCUAAGUAGCACCGAAAUACUUUGGGAUAUAGAACUGAUAUCGGAAUCACAUCGACAAGUUCAAGCCAGAACUUGCAGCCUAUAACCAACAAAGUCAGCUGAACAAACCAGUUUGCCUGCCUAAAUGAAAACAUCAACAUUUUUCCAUAGAGUUUAAAUAAGACCCAGAGCCUUAAGACACAAUAUCCAGAACACUCAGGAAACCAUCUAAAAUUAGCAAUAAUAAUAAUAAAAAAGGAACAUUUCAAAUUUCCUAGUGGGGAAAAACCCAAAAUGCUAAAGUAAGAAUGUCACAGGUGUUGAAAUUGUUUGACAAAUAUUUUAAGGUGGUUUUACAAAAAUGCUCCAAGCAGUAAGGGCAAAUCCUGUUGAAAUGAAUAGAACGUUAGAAAGUCUCAGUGAACAAAUGAAAGAUAUUUAAUGGAAAAAAAUAUUGAAAUUUUAGAAGUGAAAAAUACAGUCAUCAAAAAUUUAAAAACCAACUAGAUGGGUUCAUUGGAAAAUGACAGAGGAAGAAUAAGUGAACUUGAAGGUAGAUGAAUAGAAGUGAUCUAAUCUGAAUAAUAGAGAAUUUUUGACAUUCAAAAUUGGUUGUACAGCCUGACAAUAGAAUGUGGGAAAAGAAAACAUAUUCUCCUAUUUUCAGCUUCUAUUUGGUAUCUCAAGAAUGAUGCCCGGGAGUCUUAGAUCUUAGAACUCAUACCUUAGUGUAAAGAAGAUACCUGUCUUGGUAACGCAGCUUGCUGUGCUGGGUAGAAGAAAGAGGGAGAAUUCUUCCCUUUUCAUCUUGAGAGAUAAUUAGUGACAAAUUAGAGAGAAAGAGACAGGAGAGUUGACUAUAAAAUAAACAAGUGCAUUUGCUUUGACUCAAAUGUAUAAUUCAUGAAGUUUUUUUUUUCUUUUUCUUAACAGUUGAUCACUUUUUUUUUUUUAUAAACUGAAGUUUGACCUCAAUUUUAUUUUGCAGAUUCAAAAGAGACUGUAGCUUGUGCACAUGAGGACUAACCCUUGUGUGCCUCUCUAUGAAGUGGGACUUUGUUCUCAAGCUAAUAAAUACAGAAAUUAAAAACAAUUUUUAGGGGGCGUUAUUGGGGAUUUAAUCCAGGGCACUGCACAUGCUAGGCCAGCACCCUACCUCUGAGCUAUAUCCCUAACUCUUUCUAUUUUAUUUUGAGACAGGGUCUCACUAAGUUGCCCGGGCUGACCUCAAACUCAGGAUCUCUCUGCUUCAGCUUCCCAACUAGCUGGGAUUACGAUUGCGCCCCACGGAGCCCAACCUGAAUAAUCAGAAUCAACCUUAGGAGGAGCCGGUUGAUAAAACAAAAAAGAAUGCUGAGUUCCUUUAGUUGUGAGACAAGUGACAGCUGGUGGACUGGAGUGUUCCCAGGUAUGUAAGAGAUGCACAAAGAGAAAUUAGAUCUACUUUAGCCCAAGAACCUGGGACCAGAGAAAUGAAAAUACUCUCAAAUUUAGGUACCUUGUCCAUCGCAGGGUUGGAACUCGAACAUUGAUCCCCACCCGCUGCCACUUUGUUCAAAGACUCUGGAAUCGAGGACUCAAUCUCAUUCCUUCUCCUUUUCUCACACAAGAGAAGCCAAGCCACUGCUGGAAGGCUGCUUCCAGAACAUGGAAUUAGAAUGAGAAUUUAAUUCUGCUUGCCAAGCAAGGAAUUCUCCAGGGGCUCAUUUUUCAGAGACACAAAUUUUGACUCCUCUUUGUCUGAGCUCCAUGAAAAAAUAUUACUGGGUUUGCACUUGGGUCAGAAUAUGCUCACUGAAGCCAUGUUGGUUUUGAGGUACGUGCUAAGCCUAAUUGCCGUGGUAGGGAUCUGGCUUGAGUGUAUCCCUCAGUCACUCAUGGUUUGGAAGCUUGGUCCUUAAUGUGCUGGUGUUGGGAGGUGGUGGAACCUUCAAGAACCUAAUGGGAGGUCAUUGGGUCAUCAGGCACAGGCUUUUGGAAGUAUCCUGGUUAGUUCUCCAGAGAAGGUUGUUAGAAAGGAGACAUACUUGCUUCUCAUUCUCUGCCUUCGUAUCUUACUAUGUGAUCACUUCCCUUCUGUCACCACGAGGCCCUCUUCCACACUCACUAAGGCCAGGCAAAGGCUGAUGCAAUACUCUUGGGCCUUCAAAAUCGCGAGUUAAAUAAACAACUUUUCUUUGUAAG